CAGCCGCCACGGGAAUACGAAGGGGGCUAGCGUUGUUCGGAAUUACUGGGCGUAAAGCGCACGUAGGCGGAUAUUUAAGUCAGGGGUGAAAUCCCGCAGCUCAACUGCGGAACUGCCUUUGAUACUGGGUAUCUUGAGUAUGGAAGAGGUUAGUGGAAUUGCGAGUGUAGAGGUGAAAUUCGUAGAUAUUCGCAGGAACACCAGUGGCGAAGGCGGCUAACUGGUCCAUAACUGACGCUGAGGUGCGAAAGCGUGGGGAGCAAACAGGAUUAGAUACCCCGGUAGUCCCUGUCUCUUAUAC
rnacentral:rRNA from 1 species